rnacentral:rRNA from 1 species
AACAGGAUUAGAUACCCUGGUAGUCCACGCUGUAAACGAUGUCGACUUGGAGGUUGUGCCCUUGAGGCGUGGCUUCCGGAGCUAACGCGUUAAGCCGACCGCCUGGGGAGUACGGCCGCAAGGUUAAAACUCAAAUGAAUUGACGGGGGCCCGCACAAGCGGUGGAGCAUGUGGUUUAAUUCGAUGCAACGCGAAGAACCUUACCUACUCUUGACAUCCAGAGAAUUUGCUAGAGAUAGCUUAGUGCCUUCGGGAACUCUGAGACAGGUGCUGCAUGGCUGUCGUCAGCUCGUGUUGUGAAAUGUUGGGUUAAGUCCCGCAACGAGCGCAACCCUUAUCCUUUGUUGCCAGCGAGUAAUGUCGGGAACUCAAAGGAGACUGCCGGUGAUAAACCGGAGGGAGGUGGGGAUGACGUCAAGUCAUCAUGGCCCUUACGAGUAGGGCUACACACGUGCUACAAUGGCAUAUACAAAGAGAAGCGAACUCGCGAGAGCAAGCGGACCUCAUAAAGUAUGUCGUAGUCCGGAUUGGAGUCUGCAACUCGACUCCAUGAAGUCGGAAUCGCUGGUAAUCGUAGAUCAGAAUGCUACGGUGAAUACGUUCCCGGGCCUUGUACACACCGCCCGUCACACCAUGGGAGUGGGUUGCAAAAGAAGUAGGUAGCUUAACCUUCGGGAGGGCGCUUACCACUUUGUGAUUCAUGACUGGGGUGAAGUCGUAACAAGGUAACC